rnacentral:lncRNA from 1 species
UCCAAUAGAAGUUCUAAAAGAAACUAAUUCUCAAAAUCAAAGGCAAUCUACAAAAAUGGAAGCCUCAACUUCAACAUCAUACAAGAAUGGCAAGGCAAGAAUUUCUGUAUCAAGAAGUAAGACAUUGAAAGAUAAAAGAGCUAAGCUUUACAUCAUACAUCAAUGUAUUUACAUGCUACUUUGUUGGAGAGAACAUGUAGAUUAGAAUUUCUGGUAACAAUACUUACAUCUGUGUAUUUAAUUAGUCCAUUUUCUUUUGUAGAAUUUGUAAAGUAGGAAAAUAGGGAGAAUGCUAAUUCAACAACUAUAACUUCACCAUGUGUUAACUGUGGAAAUUUACAUUGUUUACUAGUGUAUAU